rnacentral:rRNA from 1 species
UACGUAGGGUGCAAGCGUUGUCCGGAAUUAUUGGGCGUAAAGAGCUCGUAGGCGGUCUGUCGCGUCGGCUGUGAAAACUCGGGGCUCAACUCCGAGCUUGCAGUCGAUACGGGCAGGCUAGAGUUCGGCAGGGGAGACUGGAAUUCCUGGUGUAGCGGUGAAAUGCGCAGAGAUCCGGAAGAACACCGGUGGCGAAGGCGGUUAGCUGGGCAGUUGCUGACACUGAGGCGCGACAGCGUGGGGAGCAAACAGG